GAUGAACGCUGGCGGCGUGCCUAAUACAUGCAAGUCGAGCGAACAGACGAGGAGCUUGCUCCUCUGACGUUAGCGGCGGACGGGUGAGUAACACGUGUAUAACCUACCUAUAAGACUGGGAUAACUUCGGGAAACCGGAGCUAAUACCGGAUAAUAUAUUGAACCGCAUGGUUCAAUAGUGAAAGACGGUUUUGCUGUCACUUCUAGAUGGAUCCGCGCCGCAUUAGCUAGUUGGUAAGGUAACGGCUUACCAAGGCGACGAUGCGUAGCCGACCUGAGGGGGUGAUCGGCCACCCUGGAACUGGGACGCGGUCCAGACUCCUACGGGAGGCAGCAGUAGGGAAUCUUCCGCAAUGGGCGAAAGCAUGACGGAGCAACGCCGCGUGAGAGAUGAAGGUCUUCGGAUCGUAAAACUCUGUUAUUAGUGAAGAACAAAUGUGUAAGUAACUAUGCACGUCUUGACGGUACCUAAUCAGAAAGCCACGGCUAACUACGUG
rnacentral:rRNA from 1 species